rnacentral:lncRNA from 12 species
ACCCCUGGUGGCUCAGCAGUUGUCUGCCUUUGGCUCAGGGGGUGAUCCCGGGGUCCUGGGAUGUAGUCCCACAUCGGGCUCCCUGCAUGGAGCCUGCUUCUCCCUCUGCCUGUGUCUCUGCCUCUCUCUCUCUCUCUGUGUGUCUCUCAUGAAUAAAUAAAUAAAGUCUUUAAAAAAAAUAAAUGAUCGACAUAAAUACAUUGAAUAGAAAUCUGUUUCAUGUAAUAUGUAUGCAUUUAUUCUUGUUCUACUCCUCAGGCCACACAGAACUACCUGAGUCCCUCUUCUACCAGAUAGCUCUUGUUUUUGCCAAACCAGUCUUUGAAUGCCCCAUCAGAGUGUUCCACAUGUGUCAUUCUUUUUUAAGAAAGUGGAGGAGAAGAGCCAAGGAAGAGGUGUCAUUAGAAGAAGGGAAUUGGAGAUCAUUUUCAGAGGACUAAAUUAUUUUGGUUUAAUUUUGGCAUGAGAGCUGAGUUCUAGGGAGGGUUUUGUUUUCUUCCUUGUUAUUGUGGUUAGUUUUGUUUUGUCUUAAUUGCUAAUUAUUUCCAAAUCUCCAAAAGGAAGUUGAAAAGACUCAUUUAAUUAUUUAUUUAUUGCUCUGAUCAACUUGACCAUAAAACCCCCAUGGACAUGAAUUGUGGCUUUUUUUCCUGUCUGACACCCCCGUGCUAUAACCCCAGCACUGGAUCUUUGGGAUGCCUGAGAACUGAAUACGUGAGAAUGUUUGCAAAGAAACAGCCCAGAGACUGGGGGAAAGGAUACCCUCUGAGAAGAUUUUUUGGAGUAGGAGCCAGGGAAAGGUAUUAGGUCUGUCUCCAGGUAGCCCAGAAGAGCAUCAGGCCCCCAUAGAAGAGGACCGGCCUCUCUAUCUCCAGAGGUCCUGCAGCCAGGACACACAGCUCAACCCUGAAUGGAGGGUAGAAUCAAGGAUAGAUUAGCAAAGGAGAGGUGUAUCCCAGAAAAGUGUGCAAGGGAAGAUGAAGCAAAAGGAUCUUGAAGAGGAUGAGGAAUGUUCUCCUUAGUCAACCCAAUUCAACCCUACCCCACAACAACCCCAGGACAAGACCUGCUACAUAAAGUCCCCGUAUUUAUGUAGCACCUGGAAUGGACAAAACACUAUGCUGGGGAUAUUGUGGGACCUUGACCUGUGUGUGCACUGGGAGAGAGGCUGCUUCUGGAUGAGGAUCUAGGCCCCGCUGGUGCAGCUCCCUCAGCCCCUCCCUGCGGAGGUCUGGAAGCUCAUUACCUCUUGUCAGCAACUCAGCCCUUCUCAGAUGGCACCAAACCCACCUCAGACUGUUGGAUGUUUAAAGUUUGCAGUUAACCAGGAACACAGGAGAGCUGAGAUCCAGGAAUAAAGGCAGGAACUGUCAUGUUGACCCA